GACGAACGCUGGCGGCGUGCUUAACACAUGCAAGUCGAACGGUAAGGCCCUUCGGGGUACACGAGUGGCGAACGGGUGAGUAACACGUGGGUGAUCUGCCCUGCACUUCGGGAUAAGCCUGGGAAACUGGGUCUAAUACCGGAUAGGACCCUGGGAUGCAUGUCCUGGGGUGGAAAGCUUUUGUGGUGUGGGAUGGGCCCGCGGCCUAUCAGCUUGUUGGUGGGGUGAUGGCCUACCAAGGCGACGACGGGUAGCCGGCCUGAGAGGGUGACCGGCCACACUGGGACUGAGAUACGGCCCAGACUCCUACGGGAGGCAGCAGUGGGGAAUAUUGCACAAUGGGCGCAAGCCUGAUGCAGCGACGCCGCGUGAGGGAUGACGGCCUUCGGGUUGUAAACCUCUUUCAGCUAUGACGAAGCGCAAGUGACGGUAGGUGCAGAAGAAGGACCGGCCAACUACGUGCCAGCAGCCGCCGCUG
rnacentral:rRNA from 1 species